rnacentral:rRNA from 1 species
GACGUAGGGGGCCAGCGUUGUUCGGAAUUACUGGGUGUAAAGGGUUCGUAGGCGGUGUGGCAAGUCGGGAGUGAAAUCUCUGGGCUCAACCCAGAGACUGCUUCCGAAACUGCUGUGCUUGAGUGUGAGAGAGGCUCGUGGAAUUGCAGGUGUAGCGGUGAAAUGCGUAGAUAUCUGCAGGAACACCCGUGGCGAAAGCGGCGAGCUGGAUCACUACUGACGCUGAGGAACGAAGGCUAGGGGAGCAAACAGG